rnacentral:misc_RNA from 1 species
CUUUCUCCUUGUCAACUGAUGCAGGUAAUGUUGUAUUUUGUAGAACAUUAACUUCUUCCUCUCCAUCAGCCUUGAAUGUUUUGAUGCAAGAAUUUCAUCUUUUAAUCUUCCUUCCAUCAAUUUCCUAUCUCCACCAUCAUGCAAAAUUGUUGUGUCAUCAAGAAUAGUCUACUUCUUGGCAUAGAAAUCCUCUGUCUUCUUCUCUUGGAUUGUUAAUUCCAUUUCACUGCCACUACUCCAAGAAUCUGAAGAUAUAUGGAUGAUAGUUUUUAAAACUUGAAUAGAUUCCAGCAUCUUACCUGUUUACUCUUCAAAUCUUUCCAUUUUCUGAUCUAAUUUUUUCACUUUCUGCAUCAUUUUUUUGAGCCACUUGUCCUGUCUUUUCAAAUUUCUACUGAGAAUUUCCUGCACUGCAUUAAGAAGCUUUUGUACCUAAAAUUGUACUUCCAUGAUUCAAGAAUUUCAAGAACAGGAUUUUAGUAGAAGAGAAAGAAAGUAAUCUUUUAUGAAAAUUGAAACAGAGGCCUGACCAAAGAAAUAGAAGUGGAAAACCCUAGAAAAUAGACCUGAAACAGAGAGAGAGAAAAAAAAAUUGCAGGGACAAGAAAAAAAAAGUUGAGGAAGGAACAAGAAUUUCAAGAAACAGAUUUUCAGGCCUUAGUAAAUGUGGAAUAGGGAAAUUAUAGAAGAGAGUGAGAAGAAAGAAACAGAGAAAAGGAAAUAAAGAGAAAGAAGAUUGAGAGCAGAGAAAAGCGUAGAAACCCUAAUAGAAACCCUAUAAUUAGGAUCCCAAUAUUCAAGAAUGCUGGAAGGAGAGAGAUUGAGUAUCUGUAGGAAGAGAAGAUAGAGUUUUAGAGAGAGAGAAUUUCAAGAAAGAUAGAAGAAGAAGAAUUAGGGGAAAGAAAGAAGAAUUCUCAGAGAAGAAGAAGAAGUGGAAUUAGAGGGAAGAAGAGAGAAGAGAAAAGAAUAGAAAAAAUCUGUUAUUUGGGAACACUACUACUGAUCUAACAGCUCUGAUACCGCUUUGUUAACAACAAAAUCCUAAGUAGCAGAAAGAAUAGAAAUAAAGCAGAGAAAGAAAUAGAGUUUUAGGGAGAAGAGAAUAGCGAGAAUGAGAGAGAAAUUAAGUAGAUUCUUGAUAUUUUUCUAGAAUGGUCUUCUUCAGUUACAAAUUUACAAUAGCUAUUAUUUAUACAGCUACCAGCCUUUCGUAUAAUUGUUCCUGGUAAUUACAACUUUCAGUUCUUCAGCUAACUACCACAGACCACCCUGAAAAGUCUAUUACUUUCACAUACAAUCAUAACCCCUUAUUCUCCUCAUUAGUCGUAACAUAUUCAUGGACUAUUCAGCACCCUGUAUUGUGUUAUAUGUUUGAGGCCGUGCUAACGAGAAACUUGCUUCAUGAGUUGCAUUUGGAGAUUAAAAUUCACCCAUUUUCUAUUAUAAUUAUGCUGACCUAUCAGUUCAAAGAAGGUUAUACUUUUGAAUAGUUGGAAUCAUAUAUAUUUUUUUUAAAUGAAUGGGCAUAUCUUCCUGUAUUAGCUGGAUUUCAUCUGAAAAAUGAUCCACCAAUAUAGCAUUAGGAAUUACAGAUUAGUGAAUCUGGGAAUCAUGGGUGUUGUCUGUUAUAGUGUGUAUUGGAUAAAAAAACACCUGCACCACACUGUCAUGCUAUGAAACUCAAUGGGCGUAUAGGACAAAAUAGAAACGGAGGAGAAGAGUUGAGUGCAUGGCGGGCAAAAAAGAAAGGGAGGAGAAAAAGAAGAGAGAAGGGGGGACGGGAUAGUGACGUACCUGAGCAACUUUUUCUUAGUUGCAUGCUGAAGCAACACAUUCAUUUUGUCUUAUUUUCUGUUUAGAACUGAAACUUCUAUGUUGGCCUUUUUUAAGACCAUACUGAUUGGCAUAUUACCAAUGCAACUCUUAUAUGUUUGUCAUCUUUUCCUUUUAAAAACUCUUUAACUUCUAUGUUGACCUCUCUCUAUCUCUCUCUCU